GUACUUCCCUGGUAGGAAAGAUAUCAUGAUCACAAGGUGGCUUUCCUAGGGAGAGGUUUACUAUUGAGCUCCGGGUGGACUGAACCCCCGAUGCGAUGUGGGAAACUCAGCUACUUGUGGGGAGACUGAGUCCCUU
rnacentral:snRNA from 1 species